rnacentral:ribozyme from 1 species
UGCCUAGCAACUCCUAUCCCAACCUCCUCGUGGUACUGGCCAGAGUACGAGCAAGUUUAGGGAAGA